AAAAUGCUCAGUUCAGGGUUGGAGCCGUAAUGCUGGCUAAAUGGAAAAUGCUCAGUUCAGGGUUGGAGCCCUAAUGCUGGCUAAAUGGAAAAUGCUUAGUUCAGGGUUGGAGCCCUAAUGCUGGCUAAUAGAAAAAUGCUCAGUUCAGGGUUGGAGCCCUAAUGCUGGCUAAAUGAAAAAAUGCUCAGUUUAGGGUUGGAGCCCUAAUGCUGGCUAAAUGGAAAAAUGCUCAGUUCAGGGUUGGAGCCCUAAUGCUGGCUAACAGGAAAAUGCUCAGUUCAGGGUUGGAGCCCUAAUGCUGGCUAAAUGGAAAAAUGCUCAGUUCAGGGUUGGAGCCCUAAUGCUGGCUAACAGAAUAAUGCUCAGUUCAGGGUUGGAGCCCUAAUGCUGGCUAAAUGGAAAAUGCUCAGUUCAGGGUUGGAGCCCUAAUGCUGGCUAAACGGAAAAUGCUCAGUUCAAGGUUGGAGCCCUAAUGCUGGCUAAAUGGAAAAUGCUCAGUUCAGGGUUGGAGCCCUAAUCUGGCUGAAUGGAAAAAUGCUCAGUUCAGGGUUGGAGCCCUAAUGCUGGCUGAAUGGAAAAAUGCUCAGUUCAGGGUUGAAGCCCUAAUGCUGGCUAAACAGAAAAAAUGCUCAUGAUUCUAACUGACCCCUUUUUUGAGUUUUCUUCUUUUAGUAAAAUGUAAUAGAGAAUUUUGGGGAAACUUCCCUUUUGAGUGGAUUCCUUAUUG
rnacentral:lncRNA from 1 species